CUAAUGGUAAAGAAAGGGAAGAGUAGAUAGGUAAACUCGUGUUUGCAGCGAAUUAGGGAUGGUGUAAGCCUAAUCCGAGUUUCUAUCGAAAAUCACCCUGGAACUGUCACCUGAAAUUGGAGUAAGGUCGACCGCGUCAUCCACGUUAAGGAUGGUUGAGAGGUUUUGUCUCCAAUUCAAGGAUACGAAGCCAGUAGGGUGGUACCGCGGGAAACCUUCUCGUCCCUAGA
rnacentral:ncRNA from 1 species